UCGUUUUACAGUUCUCCGCUUUAAAUGAGAGAUAAAACUGAAGAAGUUGCGUGCAACCCAAAUUGUGGGGUUUGAAAUAUCUUCGUGGAGCUGGUUGAAUAAAGGAGGCAAGCAAGUGUGGCUUCUUCCCGUCAGCCUCAGCCCAGCCACUGUGAACGUCUCAGUGGGUUUCACUAAAGCUAGGUCCAGCUACACUGCUCUCUGGAGACUGUUCGUGGACCAGGUACUUAUGGUACUUAUUGGUCCAGCCUACAAUGACAUGGAGAAUACAGAGACCAACGACCUCAGUGACCUCUGGGCUACUCCCGAGCUCAAGUUUAGAGAGAAUGAACGCUGUUUGGACCAACAUCAGAAUUCAUCACAGGAAAGACACGAGUCUACAAGUUCAGCAGACCCUGACAACGGCCCACUGCUAGGAGACCCGAAUGUUUAAGGACUAAGCUGCUCUAAUACUUCAUCUUCUUUCCUCCUCCUUGCCCCUCCACCUCUUCUCUCUCGUUUUGCUCCCUUAUUCCCCAUUUUUCUCAUCCUACUGAACUUUGAAUAGUAUUUGACUGUGCCUUAUUUAAAGAUUUUAUAUGCUUUUAUA